rnacentral:lncRNA from 1 species
UGAUAGAUAUCUGUUAGCCCAAACUCCUUAAACACUUUUCCUUUCAUAUGAUUUAGUUUUGGUUUGAAUGUUCUAAAAUAUGCCAUAGUAAUCACAGAUUUUAAAUAACUAUUUAUAGGAACCAUAACUCAUUUUCCUUGUUUGCUACAUUCUUUUAUUUUUUAUAUAAAAAUAUUAGUCUCUUGUUAUAUUAGUCACAAUAGGUUAUGCUAUCCUGCAAAACUGAAAUCUCACUGAAUUAGCACACAGGAGCUCAGGCAAACUCUGCUAUGUGUCCAAAGGCGUCUCAGGGUAGCUCCCAGUUGAUGACUCAGGGAUCCAGGUUAUCUGUAUCUUUGGUUCUACUGUGUGUCCAAAGGCUUCUCCAGGUGGCUCUCAGUGAUGAUUCAGGAAUCCAGGUUAUUUCCAUCUUCCGCUCUGCUCCAGGAUCUCAACAUGUGGCUUCCAGGUCAUCAUAUCAGGAGAAAAGGAAAUAAGAAUAUGGCAAUUGGACUUGAAGGAAAAUGGUGUCUCUACAAUUAAUCAUCAUGGGAUUUGGAAAGAGAAAACUAAAACUUCUCCUUCCUG